rnacentral:rRNA from 1 species
UACGAAGGGUGCAAGCGUUACUCGGAAUUACUGGGCGUAAAGCGUGCGUAGGCGGUUUGUUAAGUCUGAUGUGAAAUCCCCGGGCUCAACCUGGGAAUGGCGCUUGUGACUGCAAAGCUGGAGUGCGGCAGAGGGGGAUGGAAUUCCGCGUGUAGCAGUGAAAUGCGUAGAUAUGCGGAGGAACACCGAUGGCGAAGGCAAUCCCCCUGGGCCUGCACUGACGCUCAUGCACGAAAGCGUGGGGAGCAAACAGG